rnacentral:lncRNA from 1 species
GAAAAUAAAGGGGGUAAGCAUAAAGCUUAGUACGUUAACAACUAAAUAAAAAACAACAUUUAUCAUAAAUAAUUAUACUCAUAAAUUAUCAUCAAGUAUCAUGAUCAUUACUUUCUUCUUUACUUACUCUCUUACUUGUUUACUUACUUGCUUACUUAAAUAACUCAUGAUUAUAACUUACUCCUUCCUUGCCGAAAUUUUU